CCGCUGUCCACCGCCACCAACAC
rnacentral:siRNA from 1 species